rnacentral:rRNA from 1 species
UACGUAGGGGGCAAGCGUUGUCCGGAAUCAUUGGGCGUAAAGCGCGUGUAGGCGGUCCGGUAAGUCCGCUGUGAAAGUCGGGGGCUCAACCCUCGGAUGCCGGUGGAUACUGUCGGGCUAGAGUCCGGAAGAGGCGAGUGGAAUUCCCCGGUGUAGCGGUGAAAUGCGCAGAUAUCGGGAGGAACACCAAUGGCGAAGGCAGCUCGCUGGGACGGUACUGACGCUGAGACGCGAAAGCGUGGGGAGCAAACAGG